rnacentral:rRNA from 1 species
CGAGUCUUAACCGGGCGUUAAGUUGCAGGGUAUAGACCCGAAACCCGGUGAUCUAGCCAUGGGCAGGUUGAAGGUUGGGUAACACUAACUGGAGGACCGAACCGACUAAUGUUGAAAAAUUAGCGGAUGACCUGUGGCUGGGGGUGAAAGGCCAAUCAAACCGGGAGAUAGCUGGUUCUCCCCGAAAGCUAUUUAGGUAGCGCCUCGUGAAUUCAUCUCCGGGGGUAGAGCACUGUUUCGGCUAGGGGGCCAUCCCGGCUUACCAACCCGAUGCAAACUGCGAAUACCGGAGAAUGUUAUCACGGGAGACACACGGCGGGUGCUAACGUCCGUCGUGAAGAGGGAAACAACCCAGACCGCCAGCUAAGGUCCCAAAGUCAUGGUUAAGUGGGAAACGAUGUGGGAAGGCCCAGACAGCCAGGAUGUUGGCUUAGAAGCAGCCAUCAUUUAAAGAAAGCGUAAUAGCUCACUGGUCGAGUCGGCCUGCGCGGAAGAUGUAACGGGGCUAAACCAUGCACCGAAGCUGCGGCAGCGACACUGUGUGUUGUUGGGUAGGGGAGCGUUCUGUAAGCCUGUGAAGGUGUGUCGUGAGGCAUGCUGGAGGUAUCAGAAGUGCGAAUGCUGACAUAAGUAACGAUAAAGCGGGUGAAAAGCCCGCUCGCCGGAAGACCAAGGGUUCCUGUCCAACGUUAAUCGGGGCAGGGUGAGUCGACCCCUAAGGCGAGGCCGAAAGGCGUAGUCGAUGGGAAACGGGUUAAUAUUCCCGUACUUGGUGUUACUGCGAAGGGGGGACGGAGAAGGCUAUGUUGGCCGGGCGACGGUUGUCCCGGUUUAAGCGUGUAGGUGUGUGUUCCAGGUAAAUCCGGUUCACUUUAACACUGAGGCGUGACGACGAGGCACUACGGUGCUGAAGCAACAAAUGCCCUGCUUCCAGGAAAAGCCUCUAAGCAUCAGGUAACAUCAAAUCGUACCCCAAACCGACACAGGUGGUCAGGUAGAGAAUACCAAGGCGCUUGAGAGAACUCGGGUGAAGGAACUAGGCAAAAUGGUGCCGUAACUUCGGGAGAAGGCACGCUGACACGUAGGUGAAGUGAUUUACUCAUGGAGCUGAAGUCAGUCGAAGAUACCAGCUGGCUGCAACUGUUUAUUAAAAACACAGCACUGUGCAAACACGAAAGUGGACGUAUACGGUGUGACGCCUGCCCGGUGCCGGAAGGUUAAUUGAUGGGGUCAGCGCAAGCGAAGCUCCUGAUCGAAGCCCCGGUAAACGGCGGCCGUAACUAUAACGGUCCUAAGGUAGCGAAAUUCCUUGUCGGGUAAGUUCCGACCUGCACGAAUGGCGUAAUGAUGGCCAGGCUGUCUCCACCCGAGACUCAGUGAAAUUGAACUCGCUGUGAAGAUGCAGUGUACCCGCGGCAAGACGGAAAGACCCCGUGAACCUUUACUAUAGCUUGACACUGAACAUUGAGCCUUGAUGUGUAGGAUAGGUGGGAGGCUUUGAAGUGUGGACGCCAGUCUGCAUGGAGCCGACCUUGAAAUACCACCCUUUAAUGUUUGAUGUUCUAACGUGGACCCGUUACCCGGGUUGCGGACAGUGUCUGGUGGGUAGUUUGACUGGGGCGGUCUCCUCCUAAAGAGUAACGGAGGAGCACGAAGGUUGGCUAAUCCU